rnacentral:rRNA from 1 species
UACGUAGGGAGCAAGCGUUGUCCGGAAUCAUUGGGCGUAAAGAGCGCGUAGGCGGUCCGGUAAGUCGGUUGUGAAAACUGGGGGCUCAACCCUCAGAGGCCGACCGAUACUGCCGGGCUAGAGUCCGGAAGAGGCGAGUGGAAUUCCUGGUGUAGCGGUGAAAUGCGCAGAUAUCAGGAGGAACACCAAUGGCGAAGGCAGCUCGCUGGGACGGUACUGACGCUGAGGCGCGAAAGCGUGGGGAGCAAACAGG